rnacentral:rRNA from 1 species
GACGAACGCUGGCGGCGUGCUUAACACAUGCAAGUCGAACGGUGAUGCUCCAGCUUGCUGGAGUGGAUCAGUGGCGAACGGGUGAGUAACACGUGAGCAACCUGCCCCAGACUCUGGAAUAAGCGCUGGAAACGGCGUCUAAUACUGGAUACGAAACUGGCCCGCAUGGGCAUGGUUUGGAAAGUUUUUCGGUUUGGGAUGGGCUCGCGGCCUAUCAGCUUGUUGGUGAGGUAAGGGCGCACCAAGGCGACGACGGGUAGCCGGCCUGAGAGGGCGACCGGCCACACUGGGACUGAGACACGGCCCAGAAGCCUACGGGAGGCAGCAGUCGGGAAUAUUGCGCAAUGGGCGAAAGCCUGAUGCAGCGACGCCGCGUGAGGGAUGACGGCCUUCGGGUUGUAAACCUCUUUCAGCAGGGAAGAAGCGAAAGUGACGGUACCUGCAGAAGAAGCACCGGCUAACUACGUG